UACGUAGGUGGCAAGCGUUGUCCGGAAUUAUUGGGCGUAAAGCGCACGUAGGCGGCAUUGCAAGUCGGAUGUGAAAUCCCUCGGCUUAACCAAGGAAGUGCAUCCGAAACUGCAGUGCUUGAGUACUUAAGAGGAUCGCGGAAUUCCCGGUGUAGAGGUGAAAUUCGUAGAUAUCGGGAGGAACACCAGUGGCGAAGGCGGCGAUCUGGGAAGAUACUGACGCUGAGGUGCGAAAGCGUGGGGAGCAAACAGG
rnacentral:rRNA from 1 species